rnacentral:tRNA from 1 species
GCACGCAUAGCUCAGUUGGUAGAGCAAGCGUCUUAUACACGCUGGGUCCCAGGUUCGAGUCCUGGUGCGUGCA